rfam:Conidiobolus coronatus NRRL 28638 unplaced genomic scaffold CONCOscaffold_245, whole genome shotgun sequence.
UCCGAUAUGGUCCAGUGGUUAGGAUUUCUCGCUUUCACCGAGACGGCCAGGGUUCGAUUCCCUGUAUCGGAG